rnacentral:rRNA from 1 species
GCAGCACGGAGCUUGCUCUGGUGGCGAGUGGCGAACGGGUGAGUAAUGCGUCGGAACGUAUCCAAUAAUGGGGGAUAACGCAGCGAAAGCUGUGCUAAUACCGCAUACGCCCUCCGGGGGAAAGCAGGGGAUCUUCGGACCUUGCGUUAAUGGAGCGGCCGACGUCUGAUUAGCUAGUUGGUAGGGUAAAGGCCUACCAAGGCGACGAUCAGUAGCUGGUCUGAGAGGAUGAUCAGCCACACUGGGACUGAGACACGGCCCAGACUCCUACGGGAGGCAGCAGUGGGGAAUUUUGGACAAUGGGCGCAAGCCUGAUCCAGCCAUUCCGCGUGAGUGAAGAAGGCCUUCGGGUUGUAAAGCUCUUUCAGGAGGGAAGAAACGAUUGUGGCUAAUACCCAUGAUUAAUGACGGUACCUUCAGAAGAAGCACCGGCUAACUACGUGCCAGCAGCCGCGGUAAUACGUAGGGUGCGAGCGUUAAUCGGAAUUACUGGGCGUAAAGCGUGCGCAGGCGGUUUUUCAAGUCUGAUGUGAAAUCCCCGGGCUUAACCUGGGAACUGCGUUGGAAACUGAAAGACUAGAGUGCGGCAGAGGGGGGUAGAAUUCCACGUGUAGCAGUGAAAUGCGUAGAUAUGUGGAGGAAUACCGAUGGCGAAGGCAGCCCCCUGGGUCGACACUGACGCUCAUGCACGAAAGCGUGGGUAGCAAACAGGAUUAGAUACCCUGGUAGUCCACGCCCUAAACGAUGUCAACUAGUUGUUGGGGGAGGGAGACCUCCUUAGUAACGCAGCUAACGCGUGAAGUUGACCGCCUGGGGAGUACGGUCGCAAGAUUAAAACUCAAAGGAAUUGACGGGGGCCCGCACAAGCGGUGGAUUAUGUGGNUUNAUUCGAUGCAACGCGAAAAACCNUACCUACCC